UAGGGAAUCUUCCACAAUGGACGAAAGUCUGAUGGAGCAACGCCGCGUGUGUGAUGAAGGGUUUCGGCUCGUAAAACACUGUUGUAAGAGAAGAAUGACAUUGAGAGUAACUGUUCAAUGUGUGACGGUAUCUUACCAGAAAGGAACGGCUAAAUACGUGCCAA
rnacentral:rRNA from 1 species